GAAUUUUAUAUAAAUUUUAUUUGGAUGGAUUAAGGAAUAAGAUUUUUAUUUUAUUGGGAGGAUAGUUAAAUUAGAUAAACUUUAAUAGAUUUAAGUCAUUAAUGUAUGAAAUGAUUGAUGAGUGAUUAGUAAGUUUUAAUAGAAUUAAUUACCUUAGGGAUAACAGCGUAAUAUCUUUGGAGAGAUCUUAUUGAUAAAGAUGAUUGU
rnacentral:rRNA from 1 species